rnacentral:rRNA from 1 species
GUGGGGAAUUUUGGACAAUGGGCGCAAGCCUGAUCCAGCAAUGCCGCGUGCAGGAAGAAGGCCUUCGGGUUGUAAACUGCUUUUGUACGGAACGAAACGGUCCUGGUUAAUACCUGGGGCUAAUGACGGUACCGUAAGAAUAAGCACCGGCUAACUACGUGCCAGCAGCCGCGGUAAUACGUAGGGUGCGAGCGUUAAUCGGAAUUACUGGGCGUAAUGCGUGCGCAGGCGGUGCUGUAAGACAGGCGUGAAUUACCCGGGCUCAACCUGGGAACUGCAUUGGUGACUGCAAGGCUGGAGUGCGGCAGAGGGGGAUGGAAUUCCGCGUGUAGCAGUGAAAUGCGUAGAUAUGCGGAGGAACACCGAUGGCGAAGGCAAUCCCCUGGGCCUGCACUGACGCUCAUGCACGAAAGCGUGGGGAGCAAACAGGAUUAGAUACCCGUGUAGUCC